UUUGAGUUUCCACUUUAAAAUGUUUAAUUGGUGUUUUGUCGUGUUUAGUGAGAUUUAUAUUUCCUGGUUACCCUUUCAUCCCAGUGUUUUCAAUUAGGGUGGGGCCAGGGUGUGCUUUAAAAAAGAGCAGCCAGCCACUUUCAGUGUGUGUGUGUGUGAGGGAGGUAACAGCCUGCUGUGCGACUGGAGUUGUCUCCCUUUGUUAACCUUUUGUUUAGUUACUUUAGUUAAUGUUCCUCACAUUUUUGAUUUGGCAUACGGCAUACCGCUACCUACAGUAUGGAAAUGUAUGGGCUUGAUCAUAAUAUUUAAAUGGCUGUGAUUAUACAAAAUAAUGUUAUUGAAAUAAUACAUUGUUAAUAUUUAGUAUAUUAUUUAUUCAUACAAACCCAGUGGUUGUAAUGAAUCAGAGGCUAUAUAAAUACAAUUAUAAUAAAUUAAAUUUGUUUAUUUAAAAUGCAUUAUAAGUUAUAUUUUCUUAUGCUCACUGAUUAGAACACUUAACAUUGCUUUACAUUUCUAUGAACGCUCAUAAUCACUUGUUGUAAAGCUUUAUAUAUGCAUUUGAAAGGCAUUUCAAAUGCAUGUAAAAUGCAUUACAAUUGGUAGGUUUAUAGGAAUAUUCCCUUUAUCUGGACUAAUAACGCACCAGUCUGGUAUAUACCAUGCACUCCUGGUUUUAAUCCUUACAUAGCCUCAAACCCUUUUGCCUAUUGUAUGUUUCCCUUUCAGCUUGGUUACUUCUCUUAAGUUUGAAAAAUUCAGUAAUGUGGUGAGACGUCUCCACUUCCUGUUUUAUUUUGGUUUAACUUCCUGUUUUCCGUGUUUCCCUGGUCUGGCUUGACUGUUUUCAGGGCACUAUCCCUCCCCCCAGUCGCUGAGGCUAAGAGAGAGACUCCACACCUGCCCUGCAUUGGCAAUCAUGGCCCUUGAAGAAGCCAGCAGCCCUCAGACUCAGCGCCUGAGUAUUGUCUUCACUCCUGAGUGGUACAGACGCUUCUCCUGGCCUCCUCCUUGGAUAAGUGCUUGUGACUAUUUUGCUCCCUGUGAUUCUUUGUAUGUCUUCUCACUUCCACCUCCUCUGCUUCUCCACAGUGUCUCCAGCCCACACAACAGCCAUCCAGCAAACCGGACUUCUCUCGUGCCUUUUUUCCCUGAGUUGGACAUUAAAUACGUCUUUAAUUUGCGAUCUGCCUCUGUGUCUGCUUCUGGGUCCACAAAAUACACCACACGCUACAGAAUACUCAGGCCAGGAAAAUGGACCCAGCAGACCCAGACAGGUUCCAGCAAGCUGUUCACAAGCUCAGGGCUCGCCUUGGUCAGCAUGAGGAUAUGUGCCAGGGCCUCAACCAGUCCUAUCAAGGCCUCUACAUUCAAGUAGCGCAACUGGCGGAUCAACUCCACUCCUGGCUCCCCCUGCAGCAAUCUGGGUCUCCCCCCUGUGUGAGUACGGUCCCCUCUCCACAUCUCCUCCCUUCAAAGAGCCUUAUGUCCUUCCUCCCGUGCCAUAUGCUGGGGAGCUUGGGGGCUGCAGAGGUUUCCUGCUCCGCGGUGCUGUAGUCUUUGAUCAACAGCCUAUUAGUUACCCCUCGGAUAAAUCCCAGAUCGCCUACACCGUUAAUCUAUUACGAGGCAAAGCCGCUAAGUGGGCUACUGCCAUUUGGGAUAAAGAUUUACCUAUGUUGUCCUCAUAUGCCAGAUUCACUGAGGAACUUUGCAAAGUAUUUGAUUAUCCUGCUGAGGGACCUGAAUGUACGAAGCGGUUGUUUUCCCUCACCCAGGGCUCUCGGUCUGUGGCGGAAUUCUCAAUUGAGUUCUGCACAGUGGCGGCCGAGAGUGGGUGGGGAGAACUUGAGUUAAA